rnacentral:rRNA from 1 species
AGCAGCCGCGGUAAUUCCAGCUCCAAUAGCGUAUAUUAAAGUUGUUGCCGUUAAAAAGCUCGUAGUUGAACCUUGGACCUGGCUGAUCUGUCCUCCUAAUCGAGCGCACGGAUUCGGUCGGGUCUUUCCUUCUGGGGAGCCCUAUGCCCUUCACUGGGUGUAGUGGGGAACCAGGACUUUUACCUUGAAAAAAUUAGAGUGUUCAAAGCAGGCCUUUGCUCGAAUACAUUAGCAUGGAAUAAUAGAAUAGGACAUCGGUUCUAUUUUGUUGGUUUCUAGGACCGCUGUAAUGAUUAAUAGGGAUAGUCGGGGGCGUCAGUAUUCAAUUGUCAGAGGUGAAAUUCUUGGAUUUAUUGAAGACUAACUACUGCGAAAGCAUUUGCCAAGGAUGUUUUCAUUAAUCAGUGAACGAAAGUUAGGGGAUCGAAGACGAUCAGAUACCGUCGUAGUCUUAACCAUAAACUAUGCCGACUAGG